GUUCGGAACAACUCAGGGAAACUUGAGCUAAUACCGGAUGAGCCCUUAGGGGGAAAGAUUUAUCGCCGAAAGAGCGGCCCGCGUUAGAUUAGCUAGUUGGUGAGGUAAAGGCUCACCAAGGCUACGAUCUAUAGCUGGUCUGAGAGGAUGAUCAGCCACACUGGGACUGAGACACGGCCCAGACUCCUACGGGAGGCAGCAGUGGGGAAUCUUGCGCAAUGGGCGAAAGCCUGACGCAGCCAUGCCGCGUGAAUGAUGAAGGUCUUAGGAUUGUAAAAUUCUUUUACCAGGGACGAUAAUGACGGUACCUGG
rnacentral:rRNA from 1 species